rnacentral:tRNA from 1 species
GCCUGGGUGGCUUGGUCGGUUAAGCGUCUGACUUCGGCUCAGGUCAUGAUCUCACGGUCCGUGAGUUCGAGCCCCACGUCGGGCU